rnacentral:rRNA from 1 species
GUACACGCUGUGACUAGCAUAUCAAUAAGCGGAGGAAAAGAAACUAACAAGGAUUCCCCUAGUAACGGCGAGUGAAGCGGGAAGAGCUCAAAUUUGAAAUCUUGAAAGGUCACCUUUCACGAAUUGUAGUUUAAAGAAGUGAUUUCUGUUGAAGUUUUGGUAAAAGUUCUUUGGAAUAGGACAUCAUAGAGGGUGAGAAUCCCGUAUUUGACCUUUACUUUCAACUUUGUGAUACACUUUCAAAGAGUCGGAUUGUUUGGGAAUGCAGUCCAAAAUGGGUGGUAAAUUUCAUCUAAAGCUAAAUAUUGGCGAGAGACCGAUAGCGAACAAGUACCGUGAGGGAAAGAUGAAAAGAACUUUGAAAAGAGAGUUAAACAGUACGUGAAAUUGUCAAAAGGGAAGCGUUUGACACCAGUGUUGUUUUUCUGAAAAUCAAUUAAAGAACUGUUUAUGCUAAGUUGUUUAGACUUUAUCAGCUAUCUGUUUAGUUUUGAGCUUUUCUUUAAUGCACUUUUCAGUUAACAAGUCAACAUCAAUUUCUUUUGCUGUAAAAAAGCUUGAGGAAGGUGGCUUGAGAUUCGUCUUAAGUGUUUAUAGCCUCUUGCCUAUGCAGUCGGAGAGAUUGAGGUCUGCAGCGUAGAUCCUUCGGGGCUAAAUGCAUUUGUGCUAAGUUAUAGCUUUUUAUAGACAACUUGUUGACUAUAAUUAGUCUUGUAGCUUACUCGCUUAUGCUAUUUUACCUACGCUUAGGAUGUUGACGCAUGAGAUAUACGC